UUGGUCAUUUAGAGGAAGUAAAAGUCGUAACAAGGUCUCCGUUGGUGAACCAGCGGAGGGAUCAUUAUCGAGUUAUUCAACUCCCAAACCCUAUGUGAACUUACCACUUGUUGCUUCGGCGCGCGCUUCGGCGCCGCCGAGGACACUUAAACUCUUUGUUUUUAUAAGCAUUUCUGAGUGGCCGAAAGGCAAAAAUACAAAUGAAUCAAAACUUUCAACAACGGAUCUCUUGGUUCUGGCAUCGAUGAAGAACGCAGCGAAAUGCGAUAAGUAAUGUGAAUUGCAGAAUUCAGUGAAUCAUCGAAUCUUUGAACGCACAUUGCGCCCGCCAGCAUUCUGGCGGGCAUGCCUGUUCGAGCGUCAUUUCAACCCUCGAGCCCGACUCUUUUGAGGACGGCUCGGCGUUGGGGGACGGCAGACUCCCCCCGGCAUCUCGCCGGGGACGCCGCCCCCGAAAUCUAGUGGCGGCCCUCCGAGGCGACCUCUGCGUAGUAACUUGUUCUCGCACCGGAAAGCUCAGAGCGGCCACGCCGUAAAACCCCAACUUUUUUCAGGUUGACCUCGAAUCAGGUAGGACUUGGUCAUUUAGAGGAAGUAAAAGUCG
rnacentral:rRNA from 1 species